rnacentral:rRNA from 1 species
UGGGGAAUUUUGGACAAUGGGCGCAAGCCUGAUCCAGCCAUGCCGCGUGCGGGAAGAAGGCCUUCGGGUUGUAAACCGCUUUUGUCAGGGAAGAAAUCUUCUGAGUUAAUACCUCGGGAGGAUGACGGUACCUGAAGAAUAAGCACCGGCUAACUACGUGCCAGCAGCCGCGGUAAUACGUAGGGUGCAAGCGUUAAUCGGAAUUACUGGGCGUAAAGCGUGCGCAGGCGGUUUUGUAAGACAGAGGUGAAAUCCCCGGGCUAACCUGGGAACUGCCUUUGUGACUGCAAGGCUUGAGUGCGGCAGAGGGGAUGGAAUUCCGCGUGUAGCAGUGAAAUUGCGUAGAUAUGCGGAGGAACACCGAUGGCGAAGGCCAAUCCCCUGGGCCUGNACUGACGCUCAUGCACGAAAGCGUGGGGAGCAAACAGGAUUAGAUAGCCCUGGUAGUCCACGCCCUAAACCGAUGUCAACUGGUUGUUGGGAAGGUUCCUUCUCAGUAACGUAGCUAA